UGGCCUUUCUGUGUGGAGUUUGCAUGUUCUCCCCAUGUUUGCGUGGUUUUCCUCAGGGCACUCCGGUUUCCUCCCACAAUCAAAACAUGCUUAUUUAGGGCCUGCUCCUUUCUCUGCCCCCUGACCAAGGCAAAGUCUCUACAUGUGGAGUUGGUCCCACGGCGCCAGCCUGUGGCUGCCCACUGCUCCUACUGGCUGGCUUGUGUCUAACUGUAAUUAGGAUGGGUUAAAUGCAGAGGACAAAUUUUGUUGUAUGAAUGUAUCAUGAAAAUAAAG